rnacentral:rRNA from 1 species
CCUACGGGAGGCAGCAGUAGGGAAUCUUCCGCAAUGGACGAAAGUCUGACGGAGCAACGCCGCGUGAACGAUGAAGGCCUUCGGGUCGUAAAGUUCUGUUGUUAGGGAAGAACAAGUGCUAGUUAAAUAAGCUGACACCUUGACGGUACCUAACCAGAAAGCCACGGCUAACUACGUGCCAGCAGCCGCGGUAAUACGUAGGUGGCAAGCGUUGUCCGGAAUUAUUGGGCGUAAAGCGCGCGCAGGCGGUUUCUUAAGUCUGAUGUGAAAGCCCCCGGCUCAACCGGGGAGGGUCAUUGGAAACUGGGAAACUUGAGUGCAGAAGAGGAAAGUGGAAUUCCAAGUGUAGCGGUGAAAUGCGUAGAGAUUUGGAGGAACACCAGUGGCGAAGGCGACUUUCUGGUCUGUAACUGACGCUGAGGCGCGAAAGCGUGGGGAGCAAACAGGAUUAGAUACCCUGGUAGUCCACGCUGUAAACGAUGAGUGCUAAGUGUUAGAGGGUUUCCGCCCUUUAGUGCUGAAGUUAACGCAUUAAGCACUCCGCCUGGGGAUACGGUCGCAAGACUGAAACUCAAAUGAAUUGACGG